UUCCUGCCCUAUUUUCACCUUACUGAACAACACUACACAAUGCAAAAGUACAACUCUAACAUAGCUUAAUGACAACUGAAAUUGAAGAGUUCUGCAUUCACCAGAAUCUGAAGUGCCAUGGAUUGUGUCGCCAAACAUCACAUUGUACCCAGUCUCGGAUGGGGAAUUUGGAAUCUCACCAGUAAGGCUCAUCUGCUAAAUGGUUUCUUUCCAGACAAACUGGCUUUGGAGUGGUUUCAGGACAAAUCACCACUGAGUCAAAACAAGAAGCCAAGCAGAACGAAGCUACAAAGUGAAGGGACAGAGCAGAAAACCUUUAGCCUGAGCAGCAAACUCUCAGUGUGGGGAAAAGGAUCAACUUUUACCUGCAAAUCUAAUCACAAUUAUACUGAAUAUAAGAAGAGAAUAAACAUUUGUCACAAAAUUCACCUUCCAUUCAUGUGAAGAUUCCCAAGUUUAAGACUUAAGCGUCAGACUCUAAUGUGCAAGGAACAUGUUGGGUCCACACUAAUUUUGAUGCCAUGAUCUCCUGGCUGAUUAAUGGAGAGCCACAAAUGAAAACAUGCGCAGAGAGUAAAACACAACUCUUAUUAUCAGUAAACUUUUUCCUUGAGUUGGUGGAAGCAAGUAAAGCAUUUAACAUGCAGAAGAGAACAAAAGUGUGUCAGAUCUGCUGAGAAGACUGUCUGGAUAAUUCCUUGCUAACAUCAUAGUGUUCUGGGAAGAAGAUGGCCAGACUCUCCCAUCCAUGCAUUACAUUAACAGUCCUCCAUGGAAAUACUCAGGGAGCAGCUCUUACUCUGUGAGCAGCAGACUAAACAUAUUCAAAACUGAAGACAAAAGGUCGACGUAUUCUUGUGUUGUCAAACAUGAGUCAUCUGAAGCACCUGUUGAAGCCACUAUAACUGAUGUGUUUGUGAUCUACAGCCAACCAUCAGCCAACCUCAAAAAAACAAUGAGGUUUUCACCCUCAUUGUUUUUUUUCAUCAUCACCACCUUAUUGGGUAUCAUAGCUGCAUUGAUUAAGGUAAGCGCCUGUCAUUUGAUUGUUUAAAAGUAAGA